AUUGAACGCUGGCGGCAGGCCUAACAUAUGCAAGUCGAGCGGAUGAAGGGAGCUUGCUCCUGGAUUCAGCGGCGGACGGGUGAGUAAUGCCUAGGAAUCUGCCUGGUAGUGGGGGAUAACGUCCGGAAACGGGCGCUAAUACCGCAUACGUCCUGAGGGAGAAAGUGGGGGAUCUUCGGACCUCACGCUAUCAGAUGAGCCUAGGUCGGAUUAGCUAGUUGGUGGGGUAAAGGCCUACCAAGGCGACGAUCCGUAACUGGUCUGAGAGGAUGAUCAGUCAAACUGGAACUGAGACACGGUCCAGACUCCUACGGGAGGCAGCAGUGGGGAAUAUUGGACAAUGGGCGAAAGCCUGAUCCAGCCAUGCCGCGUGUGUGAAGAAGGUCUUCGGAUUGUAAAGCACUUUAAGUUGGGAGGAAGGGCAGUAAGUUAAUACCUUGCUGUUUUGACGUUACCAACAGAAUAAGCACCGGCUAACUUCGUG
rnacentral:rRNA from 1 species